rnacentral:rRNA from 1 species
ACGGAAGGCAGCAGUGAGGAAUAUUGGUCAAUGGACGGAAGUCUGAACCAGCCAUGCCGCGUGAAGGAAGAAUGCCCUAUGGGUUGUAAACUUCUUUUAACUGGGAGCAAUAAGCGCCUUGCGAGGCGUGAUGAGAGUACCAGUGGAAUAAGCGUCGGCUAACUCCGUGCCAGCAGCCGCGGUAAUACGGAGGAUCCGAGCGUUAUCCGGAUUUAUUGGGUUUAAAGGGUGCGCAGGCGGGCUGCUAAGUCUCCGGUGAAAUGUCAGGGCUCAACCUUGGCACUGCCGGAGAUACUGGCGGCCUUGAGAGUGGCGGAGGUAUCCGGAAUGUGUGGUGUAGCGGUGAAAUGCAUAGAUAUCACACAGAACACCGAUUGCGAAGGCAGGAUACCAUACCAUAUCUGACGCUCAGGCACGAAAGCGUGGGGAUCGAACAGGAUUAGAUACCCUGGUA